UACAUGGGGUGCAAACGUUGCUCGGAAUUAUUGGGCGUAAAGCGCACGUAGGCGGUCCGUUAUGUCGGACGUGAAAGCCCUCGGCUCAACCGAGGAAGUGCAUCCGAAAACUGGCGGGCUAGAGUACGAAAGAGGGUCGCGGAAUUUCCGGUGUAGCGGUGAAAUGCGUAGAUAUCGGAAGGAACAUCAGUGGCGAAAGCGGCUUCCUGGACCAGCACCGACGUUCAGGCACGAAAGCGUGGGGAGCAAACAGG
rnacentral:rRNA from 1 species